GAUGUCUUGUCUUCAUGACAACAGGAGAGUAGAGGUGAGAGAGGAGAGGAGAGGGGAGACAGGAGAGAGAGGAGAGGAGAGGAGAGAGGAGAGGAGAAGAGGAGAGGAGAGGAAAGGAGAGCAGAGGAGAGGAGAGGAGAGG